GGCGGAUUGCCCGAGCGGCCAAUGGGAGCGGACUGUAAAUCCGUCGACUUACGUCUACCCAGGUUCGAAUCCUGGAUCCGCCACGA
rnacentral:tRNA from 1 species